rnacentral:rRNA from 2 species
AGAAGCUUGCUUCUCUGAUGUUAGCGGCGGACGGGUGAGUAACACGUGGGUAACCUACCUAUAAGACUGGGAUAACUCCGGGAAACCGGGGCUAAUACCGGAUAAUAUUUUGAACCGCAUGGUUCAAUAGUGAAAGACGGUUUCGGCUGUCACUUAUAGAUGGACCCGCGCCGUAUUAGCUAGUUGGUAAGGUAACGGCUUACCAAGGCGACGAUACGUAGCCGACCUGAGAGGGUGAUCGGCCACACUGGAACUGAGACACGGUCCAGACUCCUACGGGAGGCAGCAGUAGGGAAUCUUCCGCAAUGGGCGAAAGCCUGACGGAGCAACGCCGCGUGAGUGAUGAAGGUCUUCGGAUCGUAAAACUCUGUUGUUAGGGAAGAACAAAUUUGUUAGUAACUGAACAAGUCUUGACGGUACCUAACCAGAAAGCCACGGCUAACUACGUGCCAGCAGCCGCGGUAAUACGUAGGUGGCAAGCGUUAUCCGGAAUUAUUGGGCGUAAAGCGCGCGUAGGCGGUUUCUUAAGUCUGAUGUGAAAGCCCACGGCUCAACCGUGGAGGGUCAUUGGAAACUGGGAAACUUGAGUGCAGAAGAGGAGAGUGGAAUUCCAUGUGUAGCGGUGAAAUGCGCAGAGAUAUGGAGGAACACCAGUGGCGAAGGCGGCUCUCUGGUCUGUAACUGACGCUGAUGUGCGAAAGCGUGGGGAUCAAACAGGAUUAGAUACCCUGGUAGUCCACGCCGUAAACGAUGAGUGCUAAGUGUUAGGGGGUUUCCGCCCCUUAGUGCUGCAGCUAACGCAUUAAGCACUCCGCCUGGGGAGUACGACCGCAAGGUUGAAACUCAAAGGAAUUGACGGGGACCCGCACAAGCGGUGGAGCAUGUGGUUUAAUUCGAAGCAACGCGAAGAACCUUACCAAAUCUUGACAUCCUUUGACCGCUCUAGAGAUAGAGUCUUCCCCUUCGGGGGACAAAGUGACAGGUGGUGCAUGGUUGUCGUCAGCUCGUGUCGUGAGAUGUUGGGUUAAGUCCCGCAACGAGCGCAACCCUUAAGCUUAGUUGCCAUCAUUAAGUUGGGCACUCUAGGUUGACUGCCGGUGACAAACCGGAGGAAGGUGGGGAUGACGUCAAAUCAUCAUGCCCCUUAUGAUUUGGGCUACACACGUGCUACAAUGGAUAAUACAAAGGGCAGCGAAUCCGCGAGGCCAAGCAAAUCCCAUAAAAUUAUUCUCAGUUCGGAUUGUAGUCUGCAACUCGACUACAUGAAGCUGGAAUCGCUAGUAAUCGUAGAUCAGCAUGCUACGGUGAAUACGUUCCCGGGUCUUGUACACACCGCCCGUCACACCACGAGAGUUUGUAACACCCGAAGCCGGUGGAGUAA